rnacentral:lncRNA from 1 species
GAAACUCCUGGAGGGCAGAUGCAUGCCUGCCAUCUUCAUCGUUUCAUUACCACCAUCCAACACUAUCGGGGGACCUGCCCUGAUAAUCAGUCUACAGGUGUAUCCAGCAGCUCCAGAGAGACAGCGACCAGCGAGAAGGGGCCAUGAUGAUGGUGGUGGUUUUGUCAAAAUGAAAAGGGGGAUAUGUAGGGAAAAGAAAGAGAGAUCAGACUGUUACUGUGUCUACAUAGAAAGGGAAGCCAUAAGAGACUCCAUUUUGAAAAAGACCUGUACUUUAAACAAUUGCUUGCUGAGAUGUUGUUUAUCUGUAGCUUUGCCCCAGCCACUUUGCCGCAACCACUUUGACCCAAUCUGGAGCUCACAAAAACAUGUUUGUAUGAAAUCAAGGUUUAAGGCAUGUAGGGCUGUGCAGGACGUGCCUUGUUAACCAAAUAUUUGGAAGCAGUAUACUUGGUAAAAGUCAUCACCAUUCUCUCGUCUCAAUAAACCAGGGGCACAAUGCACUGUGGAAAGCCGCAGGGACCUCUGCCCUUGAAAGCUGGGUAUUGUCCAUGGUUUCUUCCCAUGUGAUAGUCUGAAAUAUGGCCUCAUGGGAUGAGAAAGACCUGACGGUCCCCCAGCUCGACACCCAUAAAGUGUCUGUGCUGAGGUGGAUUAGUCAAAGAGGAAAGCCUCUUGCAGUUGAGAUAGAGGAAGGCCGCUGUCUC